rnacentral:lncRNA from 1 species
GUUGUGGGAAGACAAAAGCACUGAUCAGAGUGACCACAAGCAGCAGGGACGUCAGGCUGCCAACAACUAGAUUGAUGAUCCUGUCCCUGGCCGAGGUCUCCCCGAACAGCGGGCGGUUGUCCGGCCCUCCCGUGCCGUAGCUCCGGGCGGCGAAGCCCUCCAUGGCGGGGGGGCGCUGGGGCUGCCCGGGGGGGGCGCGCCCUCAUGCUGCGCUCCGGACCCCGCACCGCUCCGCACCGCACCGCUGCGCUCCGCCGCCC